rnacentral:snRNA from 1 species
AGCUUUGCACAGUGGCAGUAUCACAGCCAGAGGCAUGAUUACUGCUCAUUGAAAACUUUUCCCAACACCCCGCCAUGACGACUUGAAAUAUAGUCGGCAUUGGCAAUUUUUGGCAGUCUCUAUGGGGA